rnacentral:tRNA from 1 species
GGUAGCUCAGUUGGUAGAGCAGGGGAUUGAAAAUCCCCGUGUCGGCGGUUCGAUUCCGUCCC